rnacentral:rRNA from 1 species
AUUGAACGCUGGCGGCAGGCUUAACACAUGCAAGUCGAGCGGGGGGGGUUGCUUCGGUAACUGACCUAGCGGCGGACGGGUGAGUAAUGCUUAGGAAUCUGCCUAUUAGUGGGGGACAACAUCUCGAAAGGGAUGCUAAUACCGCAUACGUCCUACGGGAGAAGGCAGGGGACCGUCGGGCCUUGCGCUAAUAGAUGAGCUUAAGUCGGAUUAGCUAGUUGGUGGGGUAAAGGCCUACCAAGGCGACGAUCUGUAGCGGAUCUGAGAGGAUGAUCCGCCACACUGGGACUGAGACACGGCCCAGACUCCUACGGGAGGCAGCAGUGGGGAAUAUUGGACAAUGGGGGGAACCCUGAUCCAGCCAUGCCGCGUGUGUGAAGAAGGCCUUUUGGUUGUAAAGCACUUUAAGCGAGGAGGAGGCUACUGGUAUUAAUACUACCGGAUAGUGAACGUUACUCGCAGAAUAAGCACCGGCUAACUCUGUGCCAGCCGCCGCAGUAAAAC